GUCCCUUUGGGGACAUCUGAUAAAAUUAGAACAAUACAGAGAAGAUUAACAUGGUCCCUCCACAAAGAUGACACGCACAAAUCGAGAAAUGGUCCAAAAAUUU